GACGAACGCUGGCGGCGUGCCUAAUACAUGCAAGUAGAACGCUGAAGGAGGAGCUUACUUCUCUGGAUGAGUUGCGAACGGGUGAGUAACGCGUAGGUAACCUGCCUGGUAGCGGGGGAUAACUAUUGGAAACGAUAGCUAAUACCGCAUAAGAGUAGAUGUUGCAUGACAUUUACUUAAAAGGUGCAAUUGCACCACUACCAGAUGGACCUGCGUUGUAUUAGCUAGUUGGUGGGGUAACGGCUUACCAAGGCGGCGAUACAUAGCCGACCUGAGAGGGUGAUCGGCCACACUGGGACUGAGACACGGCCCAGACUCCUACGGGAGGCAGCAGUAGGGAAUCUUCGGCAAUGGACGGAAGUCUGACCGAGCAACGCCGCGUGAGUGAAGAAGGUUUUCGGAUCGUAAAGCUCUGUUGUAAGAGAAGAACGAGUGUGAGAGUGGAAAGUUCACACUGUGGCGGUAUCUUACCAGAAAGGGACGGCUAACUACAUGCCAGCCGCCGCGGUAA
rnacentral:rRNA from 1 species